rnacentral:lncRNA from 1 species
UUUCUUCUCUUCCAUAAUCCUUAUUUGUUGUGAAAGCAGUCUACACAAAAACACACAUAAUGUUUUGUUAAGUUUUAGUGUUCAUCAUUAAAGUUUAGGAUAUAAGGUUAUUGGUGAAUGAUGAAAUUAUUGAAAUAUUUAAUAUAUCCUUUGGUCAAUCAUGCUGAGCCAAGCCUUGCCACUAUGUAUCUGAUCGUAAACUUCAUUAUAUCAAGAGUGAAAUAAAACACGAUACUGUAAAGCCAGAUAACGACAACCCAUUUCUAUCCGAUUCCUUUGAUUCUU